rnacentral:rRNA from 1 species
GGCGAAUUGAAUUUAGCGGCCGCGAAUUCGCCYUUCCCCGUCCAUCAUUGAGUUUCACCCUUGCGAGCGUACUCCCCAGGUGGGGCACUUAUUGUGUUAACUGCGUCACCGAGGGGUCUACCCCCGACGACUAGUGCCCAUCGUUUACGGUGCGGACUACCAGGGUAUCUAAUCCUGUUUGCUCCCCGCACUUUCGCGUCUCAGCGUCAGUUAAAGCCCAGAUGCCCGCCUUCGCCACUGGUGUUCCUCCCGAUAUCUACGCAUUCCACCGCUACACCGGGAAUUCCAGCAUCCCCUGCUUUACUCAAGAUUUGCAGUUUCAUAGGCACUUGAGACGGUUGAGCCGCCCGCUUUCACCUAUGACACACAAAUCCGCCUACACGCCCUUUACACCCAGUAAAUCCGGACAACGCUUGCACCCUCCGUAUUACCGCGGCUGCUGGCACGGAGUUAGCCGGUGCUUACUUUCAGGGUACCGUCAAGCCCCCCUUCGGGUCAUUCGUCCUCUGCUACAGAAGUUUACAAGCCGAAGCCAUUCAUCCUUCACGCGGCGUUGCUGCGUCAGACUUUCGUCCAUUGCGCAAUACUCCUCACUGCUGCCUCCCGUAGGAGUCUGGGCCGUAUCUCAGUCCCAGUGUGGCCGGUCAUCCUCUCAGAUCGGCUACUGAUCGUCGCCUUGGUAGGCCGUUACCCUGCCAACAAGCUAAUCAGGCGCGGGAUCAUCCGAAGGCGCAUCACUGCUUUAACAACAGCACCAUGCGAUGCCGCUGCAUUAUGCGGUAUUAGACAACCUUUCGAUUGCUUAUUCCCCACCCUCGGGCAGAUUUCCCACGUGUUACGCACCCGUUCGCCACUGACAUUAUUGCUAAUGCCCGUCAGACUUGCAUGUGUUAGGCACGCCGCUAGCGUUCGUCCUGAGCCAGAAUCAAACUCU